UCCAGCUCUACACCUUGUUAUCUCAUUGCUGAUAGCAGAACUGUUCUUGAAGCCUUGCAGCCCAUUUUUCAGGAACAAAAAAUGACGGAGACUGUUCAGAAUUUAGGAGAAAAUGGUUACUUGGUCACGUAUGUUGCAAAGAGUGGGAGUUUUGCCACUCUGAGAAUAUACACGGACAAGCUGCUGACAUUUGACAUCCAUAGCUAUGAAGCAGAUAACAAAGGACGAGCAGCAAUUGAAACGGUAAUC